GUUCUGGGUAACUGCUUGCGAGCGUUCAAAUUAUGUACAGUAUUUGUGUGUGAUUGUCAAUGCACAGCUAUAUUGCAUCGGCUGUGUGUGUUUUUUUUUUUUUUUUUUUUUUUUAACCACUCAAGUGGCGAUAAAUCUGAAGCUUGUCCACCAAACUCAAGGUUCAGCUUUACAUCCACUACAAUCAUCGGCAAGGUGGCUCACAUGCCUUGCCUGGAGGUCCAUGAAUCACUGCCAACUCUCUCUGAGACAACGCAAAGGUCACCGCUUCUCUCUGGGAAUCAUCCAGGUUGGAGUUAAAGAAUUUGACCUCAUCUAAUGGAAAACAACACCAAGUCAAAGGUCCAAAGCUAUUGCUUGGAAGAGAUGAGAGGCCAAGAUACUUUCUUGGCUCGAGGACAACAACUGUUCGACCGUACAUGCCUGUGGACUGACUUCC